rnacentral:RNase_P_RNA from 1 species
GGAACCGGCUGGACGGUCGCUGUAUCGCUUUGCGGUAUGGAGGAAAGUCCGGGCUUCACAGGACAGGGUGCCAGGUAACGCCUGGGCGGCGCAAGCCGACGGAAAGUGCCACAGAGAAUAGACCGCCUACGUUCGCAAGAACCGGCAAGGGUGAAAAGGUGCGGUAAGAGCGCACCGCGCGGCUGGCAACAGGCGCGGCACGGUAAACCCCGCCCGAAGCAAGACCAAACAGGGGGCGCUUCAUGCGGUCCGCAAAGCUCCCGGGUAGGUCGCUACAGGUGUCCGGUGACGGACAUCGCAGAUGAAUGACCGUCCUCGACAGAACCCGGCUUACAGGCCGGUUCCCACU